UUUUGGAUGUUUUUUGCCUGCUAAGGGUUAACGAGUGGGGUGGGAGGGCAACAGCUGCCGCUGGUCCCCUCCUCCUCCGCUCACAUAUUUUGGAUGACAGUGCAUCGUAAGAUAGCACGUCACCUGGUAAUGUACCCUGGGUGAAUCAUCCUGAAUUAUAUUUUGCAGUUAUAUAUAUACA